CAGGUCAUCGGAUAAACAGGUAAAUAGAUAAUCAGAUAAUCAGGCAAUCAGGUAAACAGAUAAUCAGAUAAUCAGGCAAUCAGGUAAACAGAUAAUCAGAUAAUCAGGCAAUCAGGUAAACAGAUCAUUGAUUUUUGUAUUUCAGUUUGAAUGUUUCACAACGUA